GACGAACGCUGGCGGCGCGCCUAACACAUGCAAGUCGAACGGAGUUAUUUCAGCAGAAGCUUUCGGGUGGACGCAGGGAUAACUUAGUGGCGAACGGGUGAGUAACACGUGAGGAACCUGCCCUGGAGUGGGGGAUAACAGUUGGAAACGACUGCUAAUACCGCAUAAGCCCACAGCACCGCAUGGUGCAGGGGUAAAAAUUCCGGUGGUAUGAGAUGGAUCCGCGUCUGAUUAGCUAGUUGGUAAGGUAACGGCUUACCAAGGCAACGAUCAGUAGCCGACCUGAGAGGGUGACCGGCCACAUUGGGACUGAGACACGGCCCAA
rnacentral:rRNA from 1 species